rfam:Schistosoma mattheei strain Denwood, Zambia genome assembly, scaffold: SMTD_scaffold0000801
GCACUGCUGAGGAGUUCCACACCAGGAUGAAACGGCCGUCCAGUGC